CUCGUAGUUGGANUUCGGGUGGCUCUCUGCGGUCCGCCUUCGGGUGUGUACUGCUGUCGGCCACCUUUCUGUCGGGGACGGGCUCCUGGGCUUAACUGUCCGGGACUCGGAGUCGGCGAGGUUACUUUGAGUAAAUUAGAGUGUUCAAAGCAAGCCUGAGCUCUGAAUACAUUAGCAUGGAAUAACGCGAUAGGACUCUGGCCUAUCUUGUUGGUCUGUAGGACCGGAGUAAUGAUUAAGAGGGACAGUCGGGGGCAUUCGUAUUUCAUUGUCAGAGGUGAAAUUCUUGGAUUUAUGAAAGACGAACUUCUGCGAAAGCAUUUGCCAAGUAUGUCUUCAUUAAUCAAGAACGAAAGUUGGGGGCUCGAAGACGAUUAGAUANNNNCGUAGUCA
rnacentral:rRNA from 1 species